rnacentral:rRNA from 1 species
AUUGAACGCUAGCGGCAGGCUUAACACAUGCAAGUCGAACGAGUGGCGGACGGGUGAGUAAUGUCUGGGAAACUGCCUGAUGGAGGGGGAUAACUACUGGAAACGGUAGCUAAUACCGCAUACCAUUAGAUGUGCCCAGAUGGGUUUAGCUUGUUGGUGGGGUAACGGCUCACCAAGGCGACGAUCCCUAGCUGGUUGGAGAGGAUGAACAGCCACACUGGAACUGAGACACGGCCCAGACUCAGACGCGAGGCAGCAGUGGGGAAGUUUGUACAAUGGGGGAAAGCCUGAUGCAGCCAUGCCGCGUGUAUGAAGAAGGCCUGCGGGUUGUAAAGUACUUUUGGCAGUGAGGCGUUACCCGCAGAAGAAGCACCGGCUAACUCCGUGCCAGCCGCCGCGGUAAUAC